rnacentral:rRNA from 1 species
UACAGAGGGUGCAAGCGUUGUUCGGAUUUACUGGGCGUAAAGGGCGCGUAGGCGGCAAUUCAAGUCAUCUGUGAAAUCUCCGGGCUUAACCCGGAACGGUCAGGUGAUACUGUUUUGCUAGAGUGCGGAAGGGGCAAUCGGAAUUCUCGGUGUAGCGGUGAAAUGCGUAGAUAUCGAGAGGAACACCAGAGGUGAAGACGGGUUGCUGGGCCGACACUGACGCUGACAGCGCGAAAGCCAGGGGAGCAAACGGG